CCAGCCCACUGGCCGUCACAUCACACCUGAGGAUUGGUCAAGGUAUGACUGUGUGUUUCAGCUUUCUGCUGUCAAAGAAGACAUCAUCAUCAAACUGGACCAAAAAGUGAUCAAGAGUAACAGAGAUUAUUUAAUCUGUACAAGUCCCGAAGAGAACAAUGAUUAUUACCUCAAAGUUUUUGUGGGGUUUUUUUUUUGUUCUGCUCAUCACAGUCCUUGUUUUCAUCGUGUACAAGAUUACAGACUUGGAGACUUUGAAGUACUCCCCCAUCGCUGCACUGGUUCUUGCUCUCAUCCUUUGUUGUUUAACUGGAGUUCACUUUUAUAAAACAAAUACUGGUAAGCAAACAAAACAUUUAACUCAAAUCUUCACAUUAUAUACAUUAUAUAAAUACAACCUCAGGUCAGUGCAAAAAUUAAAAAGAGACCUCAAAAUAAUACAGAGGAAACCCCUAAAAUCUGUCGACAACCUAUGAAUAAGCAUUUGGUGGCAUUGGGAAGAAAAAAACACAUUUUUGACAUGAAGAACCAAACUCAGGAAGGAGCAGUUAUCUGCUGCAACCAGUUGAGGGUGGGGACAAACAGAGGGAAACGGGCCAGAAGACACAUUAUGGAAGAGAGCCAGAGUUUUAUCAACAGUUCUGCUGUUUUACUCUUUUUAAUGAGAAGAGACUAUCUCCUGAUUUCUCCGUAAUUCUUCGAUCUGAUUAUGCGUUGAAAUGGAGAGAGCCAUUACCUGGAAUACAAUGGGGACCCUGAAACAGGACGUAAUUAUAAGACCUUGACUUUACAUUAUUGAAGCAUUAAUGCAUUUGUUUUUUUAUUUACUGUUGAUUGAUGUGCACCCUAUUUUUUCGCUGACUUGUUGAAUGGACAUUAUAUGGCUCACUACUUGAAUGCAAACACAAGGCUGUGUUUGUAUAUUAUUUCAGUGCAAACUGUGUUUUGAAUUUAUCUUUGUACUGUGGAUUCAUAACUGUGUAGACUCACAAAUUAUCACGGUUAGCACUGGCCAACCGUGGGGAUGUGAGGAAGAAGGACCCAAAUGCUGGACUCUUUAUGAUAAACAGUGCAUUUAUUUACAGUGGUGUAAAUAAUCCACAGAAUAAUAAGUCCCCGUGUGUUCCCUUGACUCCCUUGUCGUGUCUUCCACCCACAAGUCCGUGCUCUUCCACUCCUGUGUGUCCCGCCACCCCGUGCUCACUGCUCUUGUCUUCCACGCUCCUUCCUGGAUAAAAUAACAAAGAAGCAACCAUCAGGAUACUCAACCACUGCAGGCAUGCACUCACUUAACUUGCCUCACAAAGACCACUGACGUGGAGUCUCACACAACAAUCCCGCGCCGAGGAGCGCUCGGCCACACUCUUAAGUAGCUCCCCGAUGAGGCUUCAUUAGCUGCAGGUGUGUGUGAUCAUCCGCUUCAGGCGUGGCCAGCCUCCAGAUGGGACACACCUACCAGGCCUGCCUGAAACCCAGUGCUCAGCCACACUCACAGACACACCCACUUGCCUAUACAUACAAGCAUGGAGAACACAAGAAUAGCAGCACAGUGCAGCAAACAUACAUCAUAUAUCAGUCCAUAACUGCUCAUGGACCCUGGAUCACUCAGAUCCAGGUCCCUGACACAAAUAAAACUAUGGGGAUGUUUGAGUAGUAAGUAAUGUUAGAGCAGAAAUGGAAAUGGGUUUAUGGCUGUCAUUUCUUCAAAGCUUGAUUUGUUUAAAAAAAAAAAAAAAGUUUUCAUCCUAAGUCUACGAGAUGGCAGCAGAGACUCUGUAAAUCUCCCUUUAGGGCUCACAGCAGAUUUUUGUCAGUGCGACUUGUCAUACAGUCCCGAUCAAAAGUUUAAAGACCAGUUGAAAAAUGGCAAAAAAAAUCAUAUUUUGCAUGGUUGGAUCUUCACAAGGUUCCAAGUCGAGCUUCAACACGCAACAAGAAGAAAUGAGACAAAACAUUUUUUGAGCAUGCAAUUUAUCGAAACCAACACUUAAACUGAAACAGGCUGUUUUACAGCUGAUCAGAAGUUUAGGACCACACCUGCAAAAAAACCCAUAAACUCCCCAAAACAGAAAUCAAAGUUCCAAACAUGAACUCAAUAAUGAGUAGCUCCACCGUUAUUGUUAAUCACUUCAAAAUUCAUUGAGGCAUACUUGAUGUAAGCGUUUCCAUGAGGUGAGUGGGAACAUUUCCCGAAGUGGUGAAGACGGCCACACGAAGGCAAUCUACUGUCUGGAACUGUUGUGUCUGGAUAUGUUCUAGCCUUUUUAAAGGUAUAAUACAAAGUGAUUAUCUUUUUGUGUUUACAAACACUGCCCCGCUCAACAAGUGAGCAGUGUCGGUCAAACCAGUUAGAAGAUAAAUAUAGAGAAGCAGCAUUAGCAAAAAGCCAUGAAUAAUACAUAAUUAUCAGAAAUGACAUGAAGUGACAAAGUAAAUAUAACAUUUUUUUUAAUCUGUCUAACUUAUAAACUUUUUAUGUUUGAUCUAUAUUAUAUAUGUGGGAUGGGAUUUAUGGGAUUUGGACAGCUGCAUUCAAAAAGAACAUAUUUCUUCUUCACAUACUAAAUGCCAAAUUCUAUAACCUGUUUGUGUGUUUUGAUUUUUGAGCUGGCUGUAUAUAUUUUUAAAAAGUGCAAAUUUGGGAGUAUGGAUUAAAACACAAAUUCAAAAAAUAAACUCUGCAUUUCCACAACUGAGAUCUCACCUUUCCUCUUUGGUAACGACUGCCACAGCUGCCACGGCUGCCACGAUUACCACAACUGCAAUGGAAACGAUAACUAGAACAACGAUUGCAGCUCCAAUGUCAGUGGGAUUCUCUGUUGAAUAGAAUAUGGAAGGACUUUAAUAAUAAAUUUGUGCUGUUACUUAAAAAUAAGUGAAGAACAAAUCAGUAAGGACCUGGUAGUUGAUGCAUCUUAUAUCUCUGAUUGAAAUAAUAAGAUUUAUCAGUUCCACAGUUGGUACCUCAUUACUUUUUGCUCACUUCAGUUAUCUAUCAUGUGUCCCC
ensembl:lncRNA